UACGGAGGGUGCGAGCGUUGUCCGGAAUCACUGGGCGUAAAGCGUGCGCAGGCGGUUUUGUAAGUCUGUCGUGAAAUCCCCGGGCUCAACCUGGGAAUUGCGAUGGAGACUGCAAGGCUAGAAUCUGGCAGAGGGGGGUAGAAUUCCACGUGUAGCAGUGAAAUGCGUAGAGAUGUGGAGGAACACCCGAUGGCGAAGGCAAGCCCCCUGGGUCCCAAGGAU
rnacentral:rRNA from 1 species